GAUGAACGCUGGCGGCGUGCCUAAUACAUGCAAGUAGAACGCUGAAGGAGGAGCUUGCUCUUCUGGAUGAGUUGUGAACGGGUGAGUAACGCGUAGGUAACCUGCCUGGUAGCGGGGGAUAACUAUUGGAAACGAUAGCUAAUACCGCAUGACAACAGUUAUUGCAUGAUAACUGUUUAAAAGGGGCAACUGCUCCACUACCAGAUGGACCUGCGUUGUAUUAGCUAGUUGGUGAGGUAACGGCUCACCAAGGCGCCGAUACAUAGCCGACCUGAGAGGGUGAUCGGCCAAACUGGGACUGAGACACGGCCCAGACUCCUACGGGAGGCAGCAGUAGGGAAUCUUCGGCAAUGGACGGAAGUCUGACCGAGCAACGCCGCGUGAGGGAAGAAGGUUUUCGGAUCGUAAAGCUCUGUUGUAAGAGAAGAACGAGUGUGAGAGUGGAAAGUUCACACUGUGACGGUAUCUUACCAGAAAGGGACGGCUAACUACGUG
rnacentral:rRNA from 1 species